rnacentral:rRNA from 1 species
GACGAACGCUGGCGGCGUGCUUCACACAUGCAAGUCGAACGGUGACCUCGAAGCUUGCUUCGGGUGAUCAGUGGCGAACGGGUGAGUAACACGUGAGUAACCUGCCCCUUACUCUGGGAUAACCCCGGGAAACCGGAGCUAAUACCGGAUACGACUCAAGCAGGCAUCUGCAUUGAGUGGAAAGUUUUUCGGUGAGGGAUGGACUCGCGGCCUAUCAGCUAGUUGGUGGGGUAACGGCCCACCAAGGCGACGACGGGUAGCCGGCCUGAGAGGGCGACCGGCCACACUGGGACUGAGACACGGCCCAGACUCCUACGGGAGGCAGCAGUGGGGAAUAUUGCACAAUGGGCGAAAGCCUGAUGCAGCGACGCCGCGUGAGGGAUGACGGCCUUCGGGUUGUAAACCUCUUUCAGCUCCGAAGAAGCGAAAGUGACGGUAGGAGCAGAAGAAGCACCGGCUAACUACGUGCCAGCCGCCGCCGUAACAC